GAUGAACGCUGGCGGCGUGCCUAAUACAUGCAAGUCGAGCGAACAGACGAGGAGCUUGCUCCUCUGACGUUAGCGGCGGACGGGUGAGUAACACGUGGAUAACCUAUCGAUAAGACUAGGAUAACUUCGGGAAACCGGAGCUAAUACCGGAUAUUAUAGUGAACAGCAUGGUUCUAUAGUGAAAGAUGAUUUUGCUGUCCCUUAUUGAUAUAUCCGCGCCGCAUUAGCUAGUUGGUAAGGUAACGGCUUACCAAGGCAACGAUGCGUAGCCGAACUGAGAGGGUGAUCAGCCACACUGGAACUGAGACACGGUCCACAAUCCUACGGGAGGCCGCAGUAGGGAAUAUUACACCAUGGGCGAAAGCCUGACGGAGCAACGCCGCGUGAGUGAUGAAGGUCUUCGGAUCGUACAACUCUGUUAUUAGGGAAGAACACAUGUGUAAGUAACUAUGCACGUCUUGACGGUACCUACACAGAAAGCCCCGGCUAACUACGUG
rnacentral:rRNA from 1 species